AUUGAACGCUGGCGGCAUGCUUUACACAUGCAAGUCGAACGGUAACAGGCCGCAAGGUGCUGACGAGUGGCGAACGGGUGAGUAAUGCAUCGGAACGUGCCCAGUCGUGGGGGAUAACGCAGCGAAAGCUGCGCUAAUACCGCAUACGAUCUAUGGAUGAAAGCGGGGGACCGUAAGGCCUCGCGCGAUUGGAGCGGCUGAUGUCAGAUAAGGUAGUUGGUGGGGUAAAGGCUGACCAAGCCAACGAUCUGUAGCUGGUCUGAGAGGACGACCAGCCACACUGGGACUGAGACACGGCCCAGACUCCUACGGGAGGCAGCAGUGGGGAAUUUUGGACAAUGGGCGCAAGCCUGAUCCAGCAAUGCCGCGUGCAGGAAGAAGGCCUUCGGGUUGUAAACUGCUUUUGUACGGAACGAAACGGUCCUGGUUAAUACCCGGGGCUAAUGACGGUACCGUAAGAAUAAGCACCGGCUAACUACGUGCCAGCCGCCGCCGUAACAC
rnacentral:rRNA from 1 species